ACCGUUUGGCCAGGUCGGAUUUUCCCUGAAGUAGAAAAUACUGUACCUGUUAUGGCUUCCCUCAGCUUGGGCCUGGGGACCGAAUAUCACUCCUUUGCCACGUGGAGGCACAAGGUGUAAAAGGAAAGAAGUGGCAAUGUGUCCCACUUUCAUGACCGACUAAUGAAACAGAGGGUCAGACAGAUCCUUUCAAGGCUGCUGCCGAAGAACAGCCAGAAGGCAUAGAAGUUGACCGAGUCCCUCAUGGCCAAUGUGAUGUCCCAAGCCUGGCAUUUCCUGGGACAGUUUACAGGUAGAAUCAGUUAAGAUGAAGACUGGGGUCUUUUCAGGAGGAAAACUUGAGCACAGAGACAGAGAAGGCCUUGUGAUAAUGGAGGAGACUGCAGUUGUGCAGCUGGAAGCCAAUGAAUUCCAAGAAUUAUGCAAUAGUAGAAGUUAAGAGAAAGGCAUGGAACAAAUUCUUCCCCAGAACCUGUUCAGAAAGAAACAACCCUAUGAAUACCUUGAUUUUGAACUUCUAAC